rnacentral:rRNA from 1 species
GAGGGAAGAGCCCAGCACCGAACCUCGCACCCUCGGGUGUCGCGGAAUGUGGUGUUUAGGAGGACCGUGCGCGCCUGUCCGGCAUCGUCCAAGUCUCCAUGAAUGGGGCCAGCAACCCAGAGAGGGUGUCAGGCCCGUGGGACGAGCCGCGGCCGUAGCAUUGGGUCUCUCCUUAGAGUCGGGUUGCUUGAGAGUGCAGCCCUAAGCGGGAGGUAAACUCCUUCUAAGGCUAAAUACGGCCACGAGACCGAUAGCGAACAAGUACCGCGAGGGAAAGUUGAAAAGAACUUUGAAGAGAGAGUUCAAUAGUGCGUGAAACCGUUCAGGGGGUUAAACGGGUGGGCCCUCGAAGGUCGAAAGGUCCCCACUCCCGUCAUCUGUAGGCCGGCUCGUGCUGCUUCCGAUGCCGUUACGGCACGGGGCUCGGUGCGGUUCGCCGGUCUACGGGGGCCGCAAGUUGGGGACCCAGUAGGACUCCGCAACCGUCUGGGAGGCCGUCAGAAGGGUUCUGGUAGAAAGCCUCCUCGUGGGGUGGACUCCGGGAUUUCCGGGCGGUCCUCUCGGCCGUCAACCUGAAUUCUCCCGCCGGUUCCGGGGACGAGCUUCUCUUCACGGGGGGGCUGUCGGUUCUCGGUUUCCGUUGUCGGGGGAUGCCGCGGAGAGUAGAGUCGGGUCCCACCCGACCCGUCUUGAAACACGGACCAAGGAGUCUAACAUGUGCGCGAGUCGUCGGGUUUACACUAAACCCGAAGGCGCAAUGAAAGUGAAGACCGUCCUCGUUGGCGUGUCUAGGGGAGAUCCCGUCCUGCUCCGGUAGCUCGGGCGCAUCCCCGGGGCGUCGAAGCCGCGUUGCCGGCUAGACGAACCAAGAGCGUACACGUUGGGACCCGAAAGAUGGUGACCUAUGCCUGGCCAGGACGAAGCCAGGGGAAACCCUGGUGGAGGUCCGCAGCGAUUCUGACGUGCAAAUCGAUCGUCGGAGUUGGGUAUAGGGGCGAAAGACUAAUCGAACCAUCUAGUAGCUGGUUCCCCCCGAAGUUUCCCUCAGGAUAGCUGGUGCUCGCAGAAAG